rnacentral:rRNA from 1 species
UACGUAGGGGGCGAGCGUUGUCCGGAUUUAUUGGGCGUAAAGAGCGUGUAGGCGGCCAGGUAGGUCUGCUGUGAAAACUCGAGGCUCAACCUCGAGACGUCGGCGGAAACCAUCUGGCUAGAGUCCGGAAGAGGAGAGUGGGAAUUCCUGGUGUAGCGGUGAAAUGCGUAGAUAUCGGGAGGAACAUCCGUGGCGAAGGCGGCCAUCUGGAUCAACACUGACGCUGAGGCACGAAAGCGUGGGGAGCAAACAGGG